GGAAGUACCAGGCUAUAAGUUUCCAUUAAGGAGGUUUGGUCAGGACUGGACUCAGCACUGGCACAGAGGCAGCACAGCUAUGUGGGAAGAACACAGGCUGGUCUGCAGGUGUCUAGAUUUGGAUCCUAGCUCUGUUACUUACUACUUUGUGACUUUGAGCAAAUUCACGUCUCUGAAAGGACCAGAGACCAUGCUGGGAAGCCUGGCUGCUCUUUGAGGACUGAGAUGAACUUAGCAAUGCAGAGAAGAACAAAGAGAGGCUUGUGCUCACCGUGUUCCAGAGGGAUCACCGUGUUCCCUUUGUUCAUUUGAGGACAUGAAUACAACUAUGGUCUUUGGACAAAAGGCAUAUGCCAGGCAGUAUGAAUGGUCUCUCUUGUCUGUGCAAUUAGUAUGUAAGAGCACGUGAACUGGUGCCUGGGACCUCUACCUGUUUUAGUAUGAUAGCACCACAGUAAAGGGCCUGGACUUUGUAUGAGCUUGGGAAAAUCAUGUCACCUCUGCAAGUCUUGGUUUCCCUGGGUGUUAAAUGUCAAUUUAAGUAAAAUGCUAUCUACUUUGUUUUGGAGACUUUCUAUGAGAAUCUGAUAAACUAUAACCUGUGAAAGAGUUUCAAAAGUUGUAAAAGAUUGAAGGGAAACUGAGAUUCAGUGAGACAAGGACAUUUGUUCAAAUAAAUCUCGUAACUCUGAAGAGGCCUGGAUCUGAGAAGAAUGGGUGCCAGGUAGUCUGACUGGGCUAGUUUUGCCCCAUCAUGGCCCUGUGACAUCCGUUCUGCCUCCCAGCUAGACUGGACUCCCCCAGACCAGGAACUGUGUCCUGGCUCUUCCUAGCACCCAGCUCAGGGAGGGCUAUCAAGGCUGCUGAAAGCAGCUCAGUGAAUGUCAGUCUCUGAGCAGAUGGGAAGAACUGAGGAUGAAUUUGUCCACUUAAAUGGGAAUGGAAGCUUAAGAAUCAAGAUAUUUGAAGAUAAGGGAAACUGAGGUACAGAGGAGGGGAAGAGCCAUGAUUGACUUCAUGCAACUCAUCAGGGAGGGCACCCAGAUUUACACGUGGAUCUGUGUCACUACAAAGCAGUGCCCUUGACUUAACACUCCAUCACUUUCCAUACAAGCUUCAAACUGAACUCCACCUUCAUUAGCUUGGUGAGCGCAGACCGCUGAACUCUUCUAACAUCUGUCUUAGAGGUUAUGUGUUGGCUGCUGCGUUCAGAGCUAUCCUAAAAGUAACUGAAACAAGGGAUUUUUGACUCCAUGGCUAAACAGUUUCUGGGGAGCAGACCUUGAUUCUACCAUUACUUAGAAAACAAAUCAAAUUAGAGUCAGACUAGUGAUGUUGUCAGAACUUUUCAAACAUAAAGACCCAUGAAUGGACAUGUACACUUGGGAUCAAAAGCACUCUCCUCUUCCAAACAGCAGUCUACACUUGGCCUUUUGAGAGGCUGAGCUAUUGCCAAGGACUAUUUAGAUGGAAGAUUUGAUUGUUGGUCAAGGAGACACUGAAGAAGAGAUAAGAUGGUGUACUGGAAUGGAAGGAAGGCUCUGGACAUCAGAACUUUGGGCCACUGUACUGCUGUGUAAAUUUGCGAAACCUACUUAAUCCUUAUGGACUGUUUCCUCAUCUGGAAAAUGAGUUAAAUGAGAUCCAUUUUAUAAAAUUGUUGUAAUGAUUAUAUAAGUAAACACAUAGUAAUAUUAUUUGAUUUUAUUAUUAUUAUUAUGACUUGUCACUCAAAGCAUUUAGCUUUGGUGUCUCUAAUAUUCAGUACUCACAUUUAUGUUCAAAUUUGGAUGCUAGGUAGAAAUGAAGACUUUGUAUCUGCCACCAGAGAAGGCUAUUUAUUAUUUGUCAUUGCCUGUCACGAACUCACAAAGAUAGUAUUUGCCUAUCCAAAGGUAUCUAAUUCCUCAGUUUCUUAUGUGACUAUAAAGGGGCCUACUUUGAUCUUACCAUGAACUCAAAUCCUUUCGAAAUUUCAAUUUGUC
rnacentral:lncRNA from 10 species